AGCUUGUGCAGCCGCUACCAACGCUGAGCGAGGUGCGCAAGAAAGUGCAGGUCUCCCUCAACACGCUCCGAGACGACCACAAAAGGCACCUCAACCCUACCCCAUACAAGGUAUCAGUGACAGACAACUUGUAUAAUUUUCUCCACGAACUCUGGCUUGAAAAUGCACCCAUAGGGGAGCUGUACUGAUGCAUUACCAUCUACAAGUCUGUCCUGUUAGUUGAAAAGUGCUGGCAUGUAAUGAUAGCGACCAUAUACGAAUGUAUUGUGAUGCUGGGGUACUAUCGAUACAUCGCUAUGGUAACCAUCACUGUAUCAAAGUAAUGGUGUUUAUUUUGUUGAUGAUUUGCUAUAGCAACCGUCUACAACGUAUGCGUCGUGAAUUCAUGAUAUCAGAAUAUUGACGUGUGACAGCAAGAAUUCCCAACAAAUAAUGACAGCUUAUUUUGGGCACAAUCAUGGCAUUAUUUACUAGCCUAAAAAUAUACUGUGAAGCAUAUAGUCUUAGUGACCAUUACUGUCAUAGGGUGUUACAGGUUCUGGUAAUUUUAAAUGUGAGGACAUAACAAAAUUUUUUAAUGAGAAUAGUUUCAAAUUAUCACGGAGACAUGAUUGUGUUUCCAUCUAGUAUUUCCCUGCUUGGAUUCAAUCCAUUAAUUAGAUAGUGAUAUCUGAGAAGAAGAGGAGAACUUGAAAAAUAGGGGGCAUGUAAUCUCACAUAAUGCAUACACGGAAAAGUGCGAGGUUAAACCACAAUGCACUAAAUAAUUUACCAAUGCGGACGUAUAUAUUAAUGUUAUGUAGUAAAAAGAAUAUAUACACAAAUCAUUUUUAGAAAAACAUUUUUAGAAACGUACGUGAAUGGAACUGAUUAUACAUAUACUUAAUAUAAUACUACCUGAAAAUAUGCCUGAAACUGUUAUUGCAUCUUAUGUUAUACUUAAAUUAGCUACGCAGAAAUAUUGCUCCAAGAAUUUUCUGCUCCUGCUCAAAUGGCAUGUUCUGAUAUUCUUGUAAGAUGCGAAUAUGUAGCUUAAUUUGUGUGUUUGUUAUGCAGCGUUUUAAACACGUUUUAUGAAAUGUUUUAUAUGGUAAAUGUACGUUAAUAAGCACCCGUUGACCUUCCACGUCCUCAACGUUACCAGCUAUGGAAAAGUGCAGAGUCAAGAAACGUCAUCAAGGGUGUGCUUGCUAUUGUGGGCAGUUUGUACAAGCAACUCGCAAUGUAACCAACAGAUAUCAUCUACUUUUUAUUGUAAACAAGACCAAUUUUAGCUUAAAUCUAUAUUGAGUAUACAUAUGUUCCUAGUUGUAUGGAUACCUAAAGAUGUCCCUUUCCUGUAACUAGUGUAAUCAAUUUGUAAAAAAAACGAUAAUUACGAUACAAACCUCGAUGAUACACGUGUCGAAAAGUUUGACUAUCAUGGUACGCAUAUCGAUACUUUACUGAAUAAAAUCCUUAUCAUAUGGCAGCAUAGUUUCAUCAGAAAACGGAAGUUGCGUGACACAAUUCACCGCUCAACAGCAUUCGUUUACUUACCACUUCACCAUAUUGAUUUGCAAGCUUUCACGUGAUUGGUAGAGCCCCGUUUCAGUUUAUAGUUUGCUAGAUAGUUUUUCUUUAAAGUAGUGCAAUACGUAUCGUAUCAAUGCUAGGUAGUUUCUUAUCGUACCAUAAACGGUGUAUUGUGAUACUGUAUCGCCCAACUCUCACCAUAUAUUGCCUCAAAGAAAAUUGUAAUUGGUUUUUUCACGAUUUCUGUCAGUAGCUGUAAUCUGUGCGUGCGUGCGUGCGUGCGUGCGUAUUGCUGACUUGAGGGACUUGUGCGGUGUGGCGAAUACAAAGCAUUGCAUGUAACAUCUCUUCCAGGUAGUUAAGCUACCUAAAAAAGUGGGAAGGUAAAGUUUGUCCUAGGUGUGAACAAAGACCAAUUGGAACUGCAAUUUUGAGUUUUCUCCUAGAGAAUAUUGCACCAGCUCUGUUGUCACGCCUUUGCAUUUACGAGUUUGACAUGUUAGAUUUUCGUUUGCGAUCUCUUUCUAUGGAUCUCUUUCUUUUUACUAAUUCUAAUGUGCCUUUUUAUUGUAGCAUGUACUACGUAGAUAUAUUAUAAAUGACAUAGUUUUCAUAUAACAGCAAUGAAAAAAUAAUUUGACAUGUUGCGAGAAAAGGUUAGAAUUAGAUUUUUAGAGGACAAUGAAGGACUUGUGCAAAAAUCAUUUAUUAAUGUGAGAUUUUUUGCAAUUAUUUACUCAGGUUGGCAGCUAUAGCAUGAGUAUGUGCUCUCUCUCCAUUAUUAAUUGUUUUAUGAUCUUGUACAUAGUGUGAUCGGUGGUGGCACCAAUGUUAGUUAGAUCUUGUCUUGUUUUGCUGGCUGCUUCAUUUGUGUGUGGCGAAUCAUUUUAUUUCAGUGCGUUUUAGAUUCUGCUUAAAAAGUACAAAGUUUAUAAAUCAGGUUCUUGUAAUUCUUAAAUUUACUGAAAUUAGACUAGCCGAAAUAGAAGAGUCUUACACGUUUUUGGUUUUACAUGUUAUAAAAACUGUUCGAAAAGCA